UCACACACAAUGUGAGUCAGCACUCCCCA
rnacentral:piRNA from 1 species